UCCGGCUUAUCACCGGCGGUUUCUUUAGAGUGCCCAACUAAAUGAUGGCAACUAAAGACGAGGGUUGCGCUCGUUGCGGGACUUAACCCAACAUCUCACGACACGAGCUGACGACAGCCAUGCACCACCUGUCACCCGACCACAAGGGGGGCACCAUCUCUGAUGCUUUCCCGUGCAUGUCAAGCCCAGGUAAGGUUCUUCGCGUUGCUUCGAAUUGAACCACAUGCUCCACCGCUCGUGCGGGCCCCCGUCAAUUCCUUUGAGUUUCAACCUUGCGACCGUACUCCCCAGGCGGGAUGCUUAAAGCGUUAGCUGCGCCACUGACGAGCAAGCUCGCCAACGGCUAGCAUCCAUCGUUUACGGCGUGGACUAC
rnacentral:misc_RNA from 1 species